rnacentral:rRNA from 1 species
GACGUAGGAUGCAAGCGUUGUCCGGAUUUAUUGGGCGUAAAGAGUUCGUAGGCGGUUUGUUAAGUUUGGUGUUAAAGAUCGGGGCUCAACCCCGGGAGUGCACUGAAUACUGGCAGACUGGAGUGUGGUAGAGGCUAGUGGAAUUCCCAGUGUAGCGGUGAAAUGCGUAGAUAUUGGGAAGAACACCGGUGGCGUAGGCGACUAGCUGGGCCAUAACUGACGCUGAGGAACGAAAGCCAGGGGAGCGAAUGGG